rnacentral:sRNA from 1 species
UUGUUGCGUAAGGGAUUGCAGCGGCAUCCUUUUUUUCGCAGCGGGUCUUGCGCGCUGGCAAAAAAAAGAUAUAGCGGAAAGCCCGGCCUGAA